GGCAUGUUAAGUCAGAUGUGAAAGCCCUGGGCUUAACCUGGGAACGGCAUUUGAAACUGGCAAGCUAGAGUUGAGUAGAGGGGGGCGGAAUUUCCGGUGUAGCGGUGAAAUGCGUAGAUAUCGGAAGGAACACCCGUGGCGAAGGCGGCUCCCUGGACUCAAACUGACGCUGAGGUACGAAAGCGUGGGUAGCAAACAGGAUUAGAUACCCUGGUAGUCCACGCCCUAAACGAUGCCAACUAGGUGUUGGGGAAGGAGACUUCCUUAGUACCGUAGCUAACGCGUGAAGUUGGCCGCCUGGGGAGUACGGUCGCAAGAUUAAAACUCAAAGGAAUUGACGGGGACCCGCACAAGCGGUGGAUGAUGUGGAUUAAUUCGAUGCAACGCGAAAAACCUUACCUACCCUUGACAUGUCCGGAAUCCUGCUGAGAGGUGGGAGUGCUCGAAAGAGAGCCGGAACACAGGUGCUGCAUGGCUGUCGUCAGCUCGUGUCGUGAGAUGUUGGGUUAAGUCCCGCAACGAGCGCAACCCUUGUCAUUAGUUGCCAUCAUUUAGUUGGGCACUCUAAUGAGACUGCCGGUGACAAACCGGAGGAAGGUGGGGAUGACGUCAAGUCCUCAUGGCCCUUAUGGGUAGGGCUUCACACGUCAUACAAUGGUCGGUACAGAGGGUCGCCAACCCGCGAGGGGGAGCCAAUCUCACAAAGCCGAUCGUAGUCCGGAUUGGAGUCUGCAACUCGACUCCA
rnacentral:rRNA from 1 species